CCUACGGGAGGCAGCAGUAGGGAAUCUUCCACAAUGGGCGAAAGCCUGAUGGAGCAACGCCGCGUGAGUGAUGAAGGCCUUCGGGUUGUAAAACUCUGUCAUUCGGGACGAACCGGAGUCUGAGGAAAUGCAGACUCUCUGACGGUACCGGAGGAGGAAGCCCCGGCUAACUACGUGCCAGCAGCCGCGGUAAUACGUAGGGGGCAAGCGUUGUCCGGAUUCACUGGGCGUAAAGCGCGCGCAGGCGGUGAUGUAAGUCUGAGGUGAAAACCCGAAGCUCAACUUCGGGACUGCCUUGGAUACUGCGUCACUUGAGGAUAGGAGAGGCAAGGGGAAUUCCACGUGUAGCGGUGAAAUGCGUAGAGAUGUGGAGGAACACCUGUGGCGAAGGCGCCUUGCUGGCCUAUUUCUGACGCUGAGGCGCGAAAGCGUGGGGAGCAAACAGGAUUAGAUACCCUGGUAGUCCACGCUGUAAACGAUGAGUGNUAGUGUAGGUGGUCGUCACUACCACUCCGUCGCGACGACUACGCAUAGACNCNCCGCCGUCGGGAGGUACGGUCGCGAGACGUAGAACGUACGAAGAAGUAGACGGACGUUGAGACGUUGCCGACGGACGACGACGAGGGAGGUAGG
rnacentral:rRNA from 1 species